rnacentral:tRNA from 1 species
GCGGGGUUAGUACAGUGGCAGUACGCGUGCUUGCCAAGCACGAUACGCGAGUUCGAUUCUCGUACCCCGCU